AGUGAACGCUGGCGGUAGGCCUAACACAUGCAAGUCGAACGGCAGCACAGUAAGAGCUUGCUCUUACGGGUGGCGAGUGGCGGACGGGUGAGGAAUACAUCGGAAUCUACUUUUUCGUGGGGGAUAACGUAGGGAAACUUACGCUAGUACCGCAUACGACCUACGGGCGAAAGCAGGGGAUCUUCGGACCUUGCGCGAUUGAAUGAGCCGAUGUCGGAUUAGCUAGUUGGCGGGGUAAAGGCCCACCAAGGCGACGAUCCGUAGCUGGUCUGAGAGGAUGAUCAGCCACACUGGAACUGAGACACGGUCCAGACUCCUACGGGAGGCAGCAGUGGGGAAUAUUGGACAAAGGGCGCAAGCCUGAUCCAGCCAUACCGCGUGGGUGAAGAAGGCCUUCGGGUUGUAAAGCCCUUUUGUUGGGAAAGAAAAGCAGCAGGUUAAUACCCCGCUGUUCUGACGGUACCCAAAGAAUAGGCACCGGCUAACUUCGUG
rnacentral:rRNA from 1 species